AGGAUCAACGCUGGCGGCGUGCCUAAUGCAUGCAAGUCGAACGUGCGGCCUUCGGGCCGAGGCGUGGCGGACGGGUGAGGAACGCGUGGGCAAUCUGCCCUACAGGUGGGGGGUAGCCUUCGGAAACGGAGGGUAAUUCCGCAUGUGCUCGCUUGCCGGUGGGGCGAGGGAGGAAAGGGACGCAAGUCUCGCCUGAGGAGGAGCCUGCGGCCGAUUAGCUGGUUGGUGGGGUAAUGGCUCACCAAGGCGAUGAUCGGUAGCUGGUCUGAGAGGACGGCCAGCCACAUGGGGACUGAGACACGGCCCCAACUCCUACGGGAGGCAGCAGCAAGGAAUUUUCCGCAAUGGGGGAAACCCUGACGGAGCAACGCCGCGUGUGGGAUGACGCCUUUCGGGGUGUAAACCACUUUUCUUGGGGACGACGAGCGACGGUACCCGAGGAAGAAGGACCGGCUAACUACGUGCCAGCAGCCGC
rnacentral:rRNA from 1 species